rnacentral:rRNA from 1 species
CAGCGACGCCGCGUGAGGGAUGACGGCCUUCGGGUUGUAAACCUCUUUCAAUAGGGACGAAGCGCAAGUGACGGUACCUAUAGAAGAAGGACCGGCCAACUACGUGCCAGCAGCCGCGGUAAUACGUAGGGUCCGAGCGUUGUCCGGAAUUACUGGGCGUAAAGAGCUCGUAGGUGGUUUGUCGCGUUGUUCGUGAAAACUCACAGCUCAACUGUGGGCGUGCGGGCGAUACGGGCAGACUAGAGUACUGCAGGGGAGACUGGAAUUCCUGGUGUAGCGGUGGAAUGCGCAGAUAUCAGGAGGAACACCGGUGGCGAAGGCGGGUCUCUGGGCAGUAACUGACGCUGAGGAGCGAAAGCGUGGGGAGCGAACAGGAUUAGAUACCCUGGUAGUCCACGCCGUAAACGGUGGGUACUAGGUGUGGGUUUCCUUCCUUGGGAUCCGUGCCGUAGCUAACGCAUUAAGUACCCCGCCUGGGGAGUACGGCCGCAAGGCUAAAACUCAAAGAAAUUGACGGGGGCCCGCACAAGCGGCGGAGCAUGUGGAUUAAUUCGAUGCAACGCGAAGAACCUUACCUGGGUUUGACAUGCACAGGACGCCGGCAGAGAUGUCGGUUCCCUUGUG